UAGGGAAUCUUCGGCAAUGGACGAAAGUCUGGCCGAGCAACGCCGCGUGAGUGAAGAAGGUUUUCGGAUCGUAAAACUCUGUUGGUAGAGAAGAACGUUGGUGAGAGUGGAAAGCUCAUCAAGUGACGGUAACUACCCAGAAAGGGACGGCUAACUACGUGCCAG
rnacentral:rRNA from 1 species